rnacentral:lncRNA from 15 species
CGACAGUGUGCAAAUGUUACAAACGUACAUUUAAAUUGGGAUGAAAAUAAACAGGAAAUGAUUCACCUCACAAUAAAAACAGACACCAAAACUUCACAGUACACAGCAACACUAAACAAAAACUAUCAGCAUAGAUAGAUACCACUGGAGGUAAGACAGAAGAUAUGUUCUUUUAUAAUUUGGGUGAACUGACCCUUUAAAGCACACAGAGGGAGCACUCAGAGUGAUGAAGCCUCAAUGUGUCACACUUAAGCUUCCCCACUAGAGGGCAGUGAAACAUCAGAGAUACUGAAUCAGGACCCUGAAACAACAUUUUACCAUCACUGAUUACUACAUCAGGUUUUACUUUUGGUUCUUUAUUUUCAUGUUUUAUGAUUGAAACUAUUUACAUUUGAACUUGUUUACCCUGGAUACAUAAUUCAUGAAGAAUUACAGAUCCAGAUUAGUGUCAGUAGUUCACAUUGGCCACCAACACCUUUGACAUAUUGCAACAAACAACGGGUUAUUAUUGUUAUUAUUUAUUCAUUUAUUGUGUUAUUUACAAAUAAUGCCAGUAAUUCACAGAAAGUAUGGGAGUCUGGAGGUCUGGCCAAAACGAAAAAACAGAUGGAGGAAGUCUGGGCAAGACACUCUGAGGGCACUAGGACCCAGAGUUUCCCCACCUGAACUAUCAAAAUAAUUGGAACUGAACAAAACGUGGACAACCAGACCUCCAUUCUCAAAGAAUAAUACACAAAAACAAGAAGCAAAAGACGACAAACUACGUUUGACACCUCCACAGGAUUCGGUUCAACACCUCAUUCUUCUAAACUUUGUGCUCCAUGCUGCUGCUGACUCCUGCCUGCUGCUGCUGCUAAAACUGAACAUAAGAACUUUUGGGGUUGAAGUUAAAUGUUUCCACUUCCCCCACAUCCUCCACAGCCUCGCUCUCCACUGUGAUAUUUCAAUGUCGUACUACUUUGUUUCCAUCAGGAGGCUCUAACCUGACUGGACUUCACACUGUGUCUUCCUGCUGCUCUGUGUCUCUGUGUCCUGCAGUCCUGAAGUUUGAGAUGUUCUCAUACGCAGAACAUGAGUCCAACUGAUGGGGAAAGAUGACAAACUGAAGUUCAGUGGACCUCAUUUGUGAAAUCUACAUACUAACAUUUU